rnacentral:rRNA from 1 species
GACAGAGGCCCCAAGCGUUAGGCGGAAUCACUGGGCUUAAAGCGUGUGUAGGCGGACGCCUAAGUGUCUUGUGAAAAUCCCCACGGCUCGCCCGUGGAACUGCUGGGCAUACUGGGCGUCUUGGGCCAACUAGGGGCAGCCGGAACAAGCGGUGGAGCGGUGAAAUGCGUAGAUAUCGCUUGGAACGCCGAAGGUGAAAACAGGCUGCUGGGGUUGCGCCGA